rnacentral:rRNA from 1 species
GAUCAUGGCUCAGGAUGAACGCUAGCGACAGGCCUAACACAUGCAAGUCGAGGGGCAGCGGAGAGGUAGCAAUACCUUUGCCGGCGACCGGCGCACGGGUGAGUAACACGUAUGCAAUCCACCUGUAACAGGGGGAUAACCCGGAGAAAUCCGGACUAAUACCCCAUAAUAUGGGCGUUCCGCAUGGAGAGCUCAUUAAAGAGAGCAAUUUUGGUUACAGACGAGCAUGCGCU